rnacentral:lncRNA from 1 species
UAUAAAAUUACCAUAACAGAUUUUUUUUUUUUUAACCAUACUAUUUCAACAUGAAGUUAUUAUACUCUUAAGGCUAAAUUACAGAAAAUUCCUAUGUAAUAACUCGCUUUUUAACUUUCCUCUUAUGACAUUUAAAAAUCUAUACUUUGCCCCAUCGUAAAAUAAAAAUUAUUCACAGAAAGGUUACGGUGUGUAAAAUGACCAUUUUGCCUCUCGUCAUUUUCGUCUUCUUCCUCAUCUUCCUUAGCCGCUCUUUCGAUCAGCCGCGAUUCCCAUAUCAAUCGGCCGCGAUUUCUCUCCAUUUUUUUCUCCACCUACUCCCCUUCUCCUCACGCACCCUCGCCGCCCCUCGAUUUCGACGAUAGUAGAGAGGAAAUCGAGGUGGGUAUUGAUGGAGAGGUAGGCAAGGGCAGCGAGCGAAGGCGAGGUGGCGGAGGAGGGCGAAGGGGAUGUGAGCGAGGGAGAGGCAGUGGAGAACGGCGAGGUGGCAAGGGGGCGAGCCGGAAGGAGGCGAAGCAACAAGAAAGAGGACAGAGGGGUAUUUUCAGCAUAAAAAAAUAUUUUAUAACGGAAUCCUAAUGGUAGGCGGUGAAGUGCACAUUUUUCAUUUUACAAGGAGGCAAAGUGUAGGUUUUUAAAUGUCAGGAGGAAAAGUGAAAAAGCAGGUUAUUACCGGAAGUUUUCUGUAAUUUAGCCUACUCUUAAUCUGACCUUUUACUAUUUUAAAUAGUUCAGCAUAACUAUAUAAUUUU